rnacentral:rRNA from 1 species
UACGGAGGGUGCGAGCGUUGUCCGGAAUCACUGGGCGUAAAGGGCGCGUAGGCGGCCUGAUAAGUAGGGGGUGAAAUCCUGCGGCUUAACCGCAGGGCUGCCUUCUAAACUGUCAGGCUCGAGCACAGUAGAGGCAGGUGGAAUUCCCGGUGUAGCGGUGGAAUGCGUAGAGAUCGGGAAGAACAUCAGUGGCGAAGGCGGCCUGCUGGGCUGUUGCUGACGCUGAGGCGCGACAGCGUGGGGAGCGAACAGG